UACGUAGGGGGCAAGCGUUGUCCGGAUUUACUGGGCGUAAAGGGCGCGUAGGCGGUUAUUUAAGUGAAUGGUGAAAUUCCCAGCGCUCAACGCGGGAACUGCCAUUCAUACUGGAUGACUUGAGGAAUGUAGAGGUGAAUAGAAUUCCCGGUGUAGCGGUGACAUGCAAAAAUAUCGGGAGGAAUACCCAUGGCGAAGGCAGUUCACUGGACAUUUCCUGACGCUGAGGCGCGAAAGCGUGGGUAGCAAACAGA
rnacentral:rRNA from 1 species